rnacentral:rRNA from 1 species
ACGCCGCGUGAGUGAAGAAGUCUUCGGAUCGUAAAGCUCUGUUGUUGGGGACGAAAGAAAAGGGGGAAUGCCCUUUUUAAGACGGUACCCGACGAGCAAGCCACGGCUAACUACGUGCCAGCAGCCCGCCGGUAAUACGUGGUGGCGAGCGUUGUCCGGAAUGAUUGGGCGUAAAGGGAGCGCAGGUGGGACGGUAAGUCCUUCUUAAAAGCGUGGGGCUCAGCCCCAUGAAGGGAAGGAAACUAUCGAUCUUGAGUGCCGGAGAGGAAAGCGGAAUUCCCAGUGUAGCGGUGAAAUGCGUAGAUAUUGGGAAGAACACCAGUGGCGAAGGCGGCUUUCUGGACGGCAACUGACACUGAGGCUCGAAAGCCAGGGGAGCGAACGGGAUUAGAUACCCCGGUAGUCCUGGCCGUAAACGAUGGAUACUAGGUGUAGGAGGUAUCGACCCCUUCUGUGCCGGAGUUAACGCAAUAAGUAUCCCGCCUGGGGAGUACGGUCGCAAGACUGAAACUCCAAGGAAUUGACGGGGGCCCGCACAAGCGGUGGAGUAUGUGG